rnacentral:rRNA from 1 species
UACGAAGGGUGCAAGCGUUGUUCGGAAUUACUGGGCGUAAAGCGCACGUAGGCGGAUAUUUAAGUCAGGGGUGAAAUCCCAGAGCUCAACUCUGGAACUGCCUUUGAUACUGGGUAUCUUGAGUAUGGAAGAGGUGAGUGGAAUUCCGAGUGUAGAGGUGAAAUUCGUAGAUAUUCGGAGGAACACCAGUGGCGAAGGCGGCUCACUGGUCCAUUACUGACGCUGAGGUGCGAAAGCGUGGGGAGCAAACAGG